GGAACACCGAUAAGAAAGGGGAGGGGGGAGGGGGAUGUUUGCCCGGAAACUGGGAAAGGGAAUAACACUCGAAAUGUAUAUAAGAAAUACUCAAGUUAAUAAUAAAAAAUAAAAAAUUAAAAAAAAAAGUUCCCAAAAGAAUUUAAAGAAAGGGAAAUUUUUUUUUCUCUAUUACAGGCAACUAAAACUUCAAUAACUGAAAGUUGAUUACCAAAUUAUUGACUGAGAUCAAGGGUAAGUGACCCCCUGGGCAGAAAUGAAGUACAAAAGGCAUAUUUAACAUCUAGGCUGGUUCAUAGAAUCAUCAAAAAAAAUCGUUAAAGUAGAUUUCUAGGUAACCGAAAACUGCUGAGGAUCAGGUUGGACCAAGGAAGCUACCAAUAAACUUUCAAUCACUAAGUUUAGUUCUGUCUGCUCUCUGUCUGCUGCCUGCAUAGCUCACUAGACACUGGAAACACCCAUGUUCAGAACAUCUAGAACAAUGCUGGCUGGAGCCAGGUUCAAGGGAGGAUAAAGACCUCUGACCCAGGGAGAGCAGUGAACACCCAGGGAAAAAUAAGGCUUUGACUGAAAACAGCAACACCCACUUUUUUAGAAAUGUAGUUUGUGAUGAUCACGUCCAGGCUCCCUUCCAAUCCCCAAAGAGAAGGUUGGUAAGCAUCAGCUCCAGGGAUCUCACAGGCUGCUGUCCCAAUGCUGCUUUUGUGGCCAUGGGCCUGACAAGCCUACUCCCUAGGGCUGCUCUGGUGACAGGGCUGCUUUUCCUGUGGUCUCAGCUGGAUCCCAGGUAACACAAAGACCAAAACAGUUGAAGCUGAUGGCUCAUCUGCUUAUUUUAAAGCCUGUGACAUACCCUGGUGCAGAUGUCCUGGUGCAAGUAAAACUCCAUUCCAUUCUCAGGUUGUGGCAUAGACACGUGUUUUGGAAAUUCUAGCAGAGCCUUAACACCAAAAAGAAUUAGCUUGCCAUGAUCCUGCUCCUUAAAAGUGAGAACACCUUGCCCUGGGGUGCUCAGAUCUGAAAAGUCUUCACUCGUACAGAGGCUUUAGCUAUUUGUGAUAAAGGGAGGGCUAGUAAAGGCACCAGUCGUUUAGUGGAGCAUGGUGGGCUGUUAGAGUAGGGAUGGAGAGAGAGGGGGGGGGGAGAGGGGGGGGGAGGCAGACAGGGACAGAGACAGAGAGAUAACUGCUUGCUUUUUCUCUCCUCUGGGUAUAAGGCCCAGGAUAAAUUCAGAAGUGAAAUAAGCAAGGAUUAUAUUUGCUGCUGAACAAGCUCAAGGACACUCAGGGACCUUCCAGGGUAGCUAAAACAUUCCUUUGCACAGAACUGGGGGGGCUGUGCUGGCUUCUGGCUCCCAGGCCAAGUUAAAGUGACCUUUAGACCCUGAUGAGCUUAGGAUACUCUGCAAAGCCAGAACUACAUGUAUAAUGGCAUCCUCCCCUAGAUGGGUCCUUCAUUCAGAGAACCGUAAGCACUGGUCUGUCUGGUCAGCAGAGACUGGGAGGUGGGGGAGGAGGAGGGAUGGUGUUUAGUCCUCAGCCCCGUUCUACCUUCUUCCUUUUCUGAGGACUCUUUCAGCAGCCUCAGUGUUGGCAGCAGGAAGGAAUUAGGGAACCAAACAUAAUCUUCAUGGCGAUUCCGAGGUCACAAUGACAGGCACUCACUCACACCCGGCCUGUGUUCACAAUACGCUUACCCUCCAUGAACCUCACAAGGAUCUGUAAAGAACGAAGGUGGAUAGAAGGGUCUUGUACAAAAUGUGAAGAGGGACUAACAAAACAGUUAACCACAUGUGUGCUGUUAGCCUGCGGGGCACAGAUAAGAACCAAUGUCCAACCCGGUGUCCAACCCUGGACAACUUAUCUGACAUCCUUGACCUUGGCCUCCCCACCUGGGGAAUGGAGAUAAUCACAAGAUCCCUCACAGGCUACAAACACUCCCACCUUGCAUAACUGGAAAAAGGACAAUGCCGUGCUGGGAGAGGGAGAGCUCAUCUGUCCUGGGGCUUUGGAGUUGGGCGGGGGAAGACUAUCUGUUUCUGGGUUUUUUGCGGGGAAGUGGGUUUCUGCAAUUCCUAAAACCAGUAAAGAAGCUCUGAGUACCUAGCCCUGAGCAAGUCCACUCAGCCCUUCCUGCACUGGGCUCCUCUUGAGCAGAUAGGAUGACAUAGCUGCCUCCAGGAUUACUAACAGGUUUAGUACAAUGAUCACUGCAGACACCACAACCAGGGUCCAAGCAAAGCAGUAUUCUCAAGACAGCGGAAAGGGAAAGAAGAGGUAUAUGGUUUUUUGUUUGUUAGUUUGUUUGAUAAAGUCAUUGACAUUGAUGCCUCAAGUGGAACUCAUUGGCAUUUCAGAUGCUCUUACAAUGAUUCAUUUUUUGGACACAAUGUUUUUUUUUUUGUGUUGUUUUGUUUUUAAAUCUGGCUUUGUGCAGAGUUUGUUAAAUUUUAAAAGGCUUCUACAUCUUUAAUUCUGUUGAGACUAAAGGAGGUGAUGUUGCCAGUAGAGAUGAAUGUUAGGUCGUUAGAGUGAUUUGUGUCCUGGCUGAGUGUGCCCCAUUGUAAAGGGAACCCUUUGGAAACCCUGACAGUCGCACCCACAGCCAGCUUGCUGCAUGCUAAGAUGCUGCUCCCUCGGGUUCAGCACUAUUGACUUGAAGAUCAUUUUUACAGCUGGGUCAUUAAUCUUCAUUGGCGUCUUUGUGUGUUAGGUGGUCAGAGGAGCACAGAUCCCACACUCAGCCUUAAUGGGCACCUGCUGGCGCAUUCUGUGUGUUUGGACGCUAGGGUUCUGGCAGCUGUCUCUCCUGGCUGGUAAUUAUUUUCCUGUUUGUCUUUCUGCUUAAGCAGCCACUCUCUUUGUCUCCUGCCAGGAUCAUACUCACGGACAAUCCUCUCCAGCUCCAGAAAAUCCUGCCAUGUCAAGCCAUGCUCUUCCUAGAGACAAAGCUGACCCACGCCACUACCCAGGGGACCCCGGAGGGACAUGGGAGGAAAAAGCAACAAAGCAAACAGACUUUAAGGGGUUUUGCUCCAUUCUAAAGGGGCCAUUUGGUGACUAAACCUUUGCACACUUUCUGAAAAAGAGAGUUUUAGAAAUAAUUUAAUUGUGUAAUAAAUCACUUAAUGAGCAUAACAAACCACUCCUCUGUGUGAAUUUUUCUGCCAGUGUACACAAACUGCAGGUGUGGCAAAAACCUGGCCAAGCCCCUCCUGUCCUCUGGGUUGAGAUGAUGUUGGCCAUGGAACAAACCACUCUCCACGUGAGGCAAAGAGGACCCCAGACCCAAGCGCCAAGGAACUCUGUUUCUGUAAACACCGCGCUCUCUUUAAACAAUAACCCGUAUUAAAAAUGAGUCAGUAAAACCUUAGCAGUGACCCUUGAUUAGAUUUUUGACCCAGUUAUCCUAACAGAUAUCCCCAGUGAAUUCUCAUUUUAGUGUGUUGAACCUCUUAUGCUGCUUUAGUGGCCACAAAGAUCGGAAAGCCGAGGUGCGAACUGCACAGGGGAGUGAGUACACGCAAAGGAGCCCUGUGGCUAGAACAGGCUGACGCCGACCCACUGGAGUGCUUGUGCUUGUCACUUCCUGAUUUGAACCUUGGUGCUGAAUCCCAAGCGCUUGGUUCAGAAAACAUCCAGACUGAGCUCUAAUGUCCAGAAAGGAACAAUAGCUCUGUGUUUAUCCUUAAUGCUGAGGGAAGACAAACGAGGGGUGCUAACACAAAACUUCUAACUUAGCACAUGACCUACCUGCACAAGAAUAUGGCUCAGAGUCUUUUUUUUCUUUUUCUUUAUUGGAUAUAUUUCUCUAUUUACAUUUCAAAUGUUAUUCCCUUUCCUGGUUUCCUGUCCAUAAGCCCUCUAUCCCCUUCUCUUCCCCCAUAAGGGUGUUCCCCCCAUUCAUUCCCCCUUACUCUCCCCCCCCCAUGGCAUUCCCCUGCACUGGGGGUCCAACCUUGGCAGGAAUAAGGCCUUCUCCUUCCACUGGUGCCCCAACAAGGCUAUUCUCUGCUACAUAUGAAGUUCGGAGCCCUGGGUCAGUCCAUGUAUAGUCUUUGGGUAGUGGUUUAGUCCCUGGAAGCUCUGGUUGGUUGGCAUUGUUGUUCUUAUGGGGUUGCAAGCUCCUUCAAUUCUUUCAGUCCUUCCUCUAAUCCCUCCCAAAGGGGGUCCUGUUCUCAGUUCAGUGGUUUACUGCUGGCAUUCACCUCUGUAUUUGACAUGUUCUGGUUGUGUCUCUCAGGAGAGAUCUAUAUCCGGUUCCUGUCAGCCUGCACUUCUUAGCUUCAUCCAUCUUAUCUACUUUUGGUGGCUGUAUAUAUAUGGGCCACACAUGGGGCAGGCUCUGAGUGGCCGUUCCUUCAGUCUCUGCUCUAAACUUUCCCUCCCUAUCCCCUCCUAUAGAUAUUUUUGUUCCCCCUCUUAAGAAGGAGUGGAAGCAUCUGCAUUUUGGUCAUCCUUCUUCUUGAUAGCUCAGAGUCUUACGUGAUGAUUUUAUUCGGGCAUAUGUAUGGGGGGUUUCACAUGUUCAAGCUCUGGGGUAUGCAUAUAGCAUGUACUAGUGUACCCACACAUGUACAUAUAUGUGUGCAUGCAUGCAGAGGCCCACGGUUAACAUCCGUUACCUACCCUGAUUACUCUCCAUGCUACUGAGGCAGAGUCCCUGGCUGCACUGGAGCUAACCAACUCUGGAAAGCCUAGCUAACCAUCCAGUCUGCCCUGGAGAUCUCCUGUAUGUGCCUGCCAAGCGUUGGAUUACAGGCAGCCACCAUACCUGCUGCUUUUCCGUGGCUCCUGGGGAUCCAAACUCUAGCCCUUAUGCUUUAUCCCCAGAAACAGCUCCUUAGGCUCCUGCUUGGUCUUCAUAAAGAAAGGUCUAUCAAUUGCUCUGCCAAGGCCAAGUAUCUAACCUCAAACCUUCUUUUUUUUCCCCUUCAGAAUAAAAGGGGGUUCUGUUUGGCUUAUUCACCAGGGUGGCUAGACUGGAUCAGUCUCCAAACUCAGAUUACCUUCAGGCUGAGAGUGGGGCGGCAGGCACCCAGCCCUGGGUUUCUUCCCCAGAAGAAAAUGACAGGGUAGCUGAAAGCAAGGUGGAGGUUGUGGCUCUCACAUCUCCACAUCUCAGCCUCAACAUUCCAAUCGUGCACCACAGGUAAGAAAGCUUGUGGACGGCGUGGGUCUAGCCUUCAUUUGGAUAUGGGAAUAAGUGUAGAAAUACAAGAGCAUUCCAAGGCAGGGGCCAGGCAUGCACUGACAAAGGUGCCAUCUCUCUAAUCGACAGCAAGCAGAAGCAUAGAGAACGGCCAGCACCUGACCCUUCUGCCACUGAACUCCAUAACUGCCCUGGCUGGGCCUCCAUAAACACACAGAACUGUCUGAGGAUAAGCGAGCGAGAGAGGAGAAGGUCUUCAUGUUUUAAACUGAGGGCUCCUGGUGUGCUCUGGACGGAGAUGGCAUGUGCAUCUCCACCGUACCUCACCAACAUACCAGGCCUUCACCAUACCAGCACCAACAUACCCUACAUAUCCAAGGCUCAACAAGUGGGCCGUGUAACUGCAGUCAGGGAGCCUCAUGGCAUUGGGGGUUCUUCAGGUCGACCCCUAGGGUCUCAUGUACAUAGCAAGUGCUAUAGCACUGAGAGAUGUCCCCAGCUGCACAGUGGUUUUAAAGCAAUACAUUUAUUUUUUUCUUACUAUAUCUACAAUGAAGACUUUUCAAAGGAGCACUCUGUCAGUAUAUAGGGUGUAGGUGCCCACCAUUUUCCACUUGGGCUUUGGACAGAAACACAUUAAGAAUGUUCUUCUUGUUGGCUGCUGCUGCUGCAUUUUCUGAACUGUGCGUUUUGUUAUCAGUAACAUUUCUGGUCUGUUCAGUGGACCAUUUAAAGCAAAGGUCAGCACUUUUGAGUGACUACAUAAGACUGUUUGCAGAAGUGGCAAAUGACUGUAUUUUCAAGUUCUCUCCUUUAAUUUCUACUGACUUCCAGUGAUACCAAGACCGCCACACUCAAUGUCUUUUCCACAGGAGGACCUAAUACCUACAGGUGUUACACAGCCAAGGUGCACCCUGGAAGGUGACCUUCUCCAGAAGGAAAAGGAAGAGGAGGCUUCUGAAGGAAGCCACAGGAGGACUCACAGCUUUUCAGCAUUUGUAGACAUCUGAGGUUUCAUAACUCUAUACGCUGAUGCCCUAAUCAUGAUGGUGUCACCUUCACCCUAUAGCACAUGACUAGAGCUGUCUUACAUGUUUCCAGAGGACAUAUGCCUGACUAGUGUUCGUGAGGACAAUAACUGUUACUAAGGGACAGACAAGGCUUUGGGUAGAAUCCAGAAAAAAGGCCUGAGGGAUACAGAACUAUACAAUAUUUUGUUUUUUAAAAAAAAGAAAGAGAGAAAGAACUCAGACCUUUGCAAUGUUUGUAAAAAGGAUCCUAGAAAAAGCAAUGACUGCAUGAGUAUGUGAUGAUAUUUUUCUUUCUUAAGUUUUAUUCUUACAGCACCAUACAGUAUAGAUAACAGCCACCACCUUUUGUGGCAUUAACCUUCAAUUGUACUAUUUUACCACAAUCCCUCUCCAAUAACCCACCUCACUUCCCACAGCCCCUGCUGCUGUGUGUACUCUGUCUCUAUAAAUGUGUCACUUGUCUCUCUGUGUCUGACCUACUUCCUUACCACAGUAUCUUCAAGGGUGAUCUCUGUUGUAAUGUCUGGCACUACAAGGUCACAUCCUAGGAUUCUAGAAUCAGGUGGAAUUCCAAAGCUCCAGGACAAUGCACACUCAGGGAUGACAUCUCCAGGCAGCCGAGAUGGAAGCCAGGAGCAUGGCACAAUACAAAAUCGGAGGCUUCCUUAAAAUAGUAAGAGCUAUGCUUUUUUGUUUUGUUUUGUUUUGUUUUGUUUUGCUGUUUUGUAAGCUGAUUGUGCCAUUCUUUUUUUUUUCUUUUCCUAAAGAUUUAUCUUAUUAUUUAUAUGUAGGUGCAUGCAUCUGUGUAUGUGUUUGUGCACAUGGGUGCAAGUGUCCUAGGAGGCCAGGAGAGGGUAUUAGAUUCUCUGGUACUGGAAUUAUGUGGCUGUGAGCAACUGGACACAGGUGCUUGAAAUGAAACUAAGGUCUUCCGGAAGAGUAACAUGCACUCUGAAUCACUGAGCCAUUGCUCUAACCCCGUGAUUUGGUUUUUGGAACAGAGUCUUGCCCUGUAGCCCAGGCUGGCCUGGAACUCUUAGCAAUUCUCUUCCCUCAGCCUCUUUUUUUUUAAAUUGGAUAUUUUUUAAUUUACAUUUCUAAUGUUAUACCCUUUUCCUGGUUUCCUAUCCCCUAUCCCAUUCCCCCCUCCCCCAGCUUCUAUGAGCGUGUUCUCCCACCCAUCCACCCCUUCCUACCUCCCCACCUCUCUACCCUGACAUUCCCUUACACUGGGGCAUCGAGCCUUGGCAAGUCCAAGGGCUUCUCCUCCCACUUGUGCGGUUCUCGAAGGCAAACUAUCAAAAUGUCAAAAGGCUGGACCCACCCGCAGGAGAUGGUGUUAAACGAAAUAAAAGGGAUUCGUGUUUUACAAAGAGGCAGUAAACUCUAAGAAAUUUCUACCCCCAGAAGAUAAUAAAAGGCUAAACAGGCGAGUCCUCACUAAAAUUGGGUGGACUCCUAGCAAACAGACCCAUAAGAGGCUAUUCGCUGAGAGGAAACUGAACACACCAUGCUAGCCUGCUUUGAGGUAACGAUGGUAAACAACUCAUUCGUGUGCUCUGUAUGGCGCUUUGCUCACCUGAGACCCGCAUGGUCACAGGGUGGGACUUCUUCCUUGGCUGAGAGCCUGGCUACCAUGUCCACACCUUCGAGGCUUAGAGACUGACUGGAUGUUUCAGGCGGGAGUGAACCACAUCAAAGGCACAGCUCACUGGCACAUCAGAAGGCCAGGCACCGAGGCAAUGUCCAAGCAACACCUCAAAGACACCAGCCUGGAAGGUCUGAGUCAGCUGUGCAAUCAGUAGUGUGGAGCCCUGGGUGAUCCUGGGUUCAGUCUUAGGUAGCUAGGAUGUUGAGGCAUCUAAGACAAUAACCGUCUCCUAGGGGAAUCUGGAUGUGCCUCAAGUUGGGACUGGUUAUCUAGUCCUGCAGAGCAUCAAAAGCUUUAGUUCAAAGAUUCUAUGGAAUCACUCAGGUAACCUUCGUGGGCUGGGCUAGGGAGAGAGACAGCCUGCAGGAGUAGGAAUGUCACUUUUCUUCUCUAGCGUCUAUCUGAACGAUAAGCUCAGAAGGGACCUUUCUAUCCUAUUCCACCUGCUUGUGAUCCUGGAGGGAGCACCGUGUUACUCUUCCCUUCCUCAUUCCGUAAUGCCCAGAGCAGAAUGUCCUGAACAGGUAGAACCCAUGCAGAGGAAAGUCGUUCUACCUGGGCACAGCCCGUGUUCAGCGUGCUCUGUUCCAUACCUCUGCUGAUGUCCAACUGCUUUGGUUUAGAGAACUUCAAAGGAAUUCGGAGCCUUGAGCAGAACUGUGCCCAGAUGCCCUGGGGGGCAAUGAGAACUUCACAAGAGGUGAUUUGGUAGAUAUGGAACUGCCUGCUGCCUCCAAAAGGAGCCUGGGUAGAGCCUCUGGAGUUCUUAUUUUAUAUGAUGCACAAGACAGCAACAGGAGCGCUCUUCCCAAACAACUCAAUGGGUGGCCGAAGACGAGAGAGUGUUCUGCAGCAAGGAUAGCAGGAUCCUAAGAAUGGGGUCGGUCAGAAGAUCACCUGAGUGUAGAGGAAGACUACUGCACUUUCCAGCUCCAUUGCAGCUUCUUGGGCUGCAGACCGGCUCAUUGGAGAAGCAGCCAUCUGUCUCAGGCACAGCUCAGAAACCGGAGAGCUCAAAGGCGACCUUCGAUUUCCUCCAUUCCUGAUCACAAAUGAGAGCCAUCCCAUCUAGGCACAGGUUGUGGCUUACGGACGUGCCCUCUCUGCCUUUUGUUUAAUAGUGGCAGAGGGCCUUCCUGGUUCAGGACUCUAACACAUGCCUUGGACUUCGAGGGUUUUUCCUGUUUGAGUCUGAAAGCUGUACCCCUUGACUUCCUAACUCCGUUCUGAUGUAGAUCAAGCUCUCUGUCUUUACCUCAGACAGCUGUGUUUCUGGAAGCUUCUUCCAGGGAACACAGGAGCCAUAGUGUUCGGAACCAAUUUUCUCCUUAAAAAAACUUCCCCCAGGAGGGGAAAAUUCUCACCCAUCUACAUAUUAUUGAUUUCUUCAUGAAGUUCUACUCCUGUUUACCUAAGUGGGCGAGGGGGGAAGGAGAAUGGAAGGCAGCCAAUAAAGAAAGCCUUUGUCUGAAACUCAAAUUUCAAAGACUUUACAAGUUAUCUGACCACUUAGCAUCCAGAUUAAUGGUACUGAUAAAAACAUGUCUCUCAGUGACUCCACUGUUACCUUGGGAACGGAUAGAAACAGAUAGAUCAUAGGUGCUGAUCUAUGUCUUUACUUAAUUAGCAGACAUGGAAGAGUUCAGCUCAGAUGAGGAGGCAAGUCUAAGGCUUCUUUUCCCAUCUCCUUGUACCCGAAACUCCACUGUACCUAGGGGUGAGGCCGUCAUUGCUUUUUUGAGACAGGGUCUCUCUACUUAGCCUUACCUGUCCUAGAACACAUUAAGUACACCAAGAUGGUCUUGACCACAGAGACCCAAUGUCUAUGCCUCCUGGGUGCUGGGAUUAAAGGCCUAUGCCAGGAAGCAUGGCUGUCUGGUUCACUGCAAACACUAAGAGUGGUUGUGAAGAGAAGACAGUGCAAAGAAAACCAGAAGGGAGAUGGUUAUUUUAAAAGUUUAAAGUCUGUCACACAAAUGUCUAGGAAUACUAUUCCCAGCUGGGCCUGUUGGUAUUCUCCUGUAGUUCCAGAAUUUGGGAUUGCAGAAGCGGGAAGAUUGGGAGUUUAAAAUCAUUGAUAUAGCAAACUCGGAGUUAUCUAGGGCUACAUAAUCCUGUCUUAAAAACAAAACAACACACACACACACACACACACACACACACACACACACACACGCAAAUCACUCCUAUGAGUCAGGUGUGUAAGACAGCAUUUCUAACUGUGUGUGAAUUUCCCAUCACGCUAUAUAGAGAAGAAAGGAAGCAGAGAUGUCUACAGCACACGUCUCAGGCACGGGCAGAGAGCAGCGACCAGUGCAGAAUGGGCUGAGACACAAGGACCUGGGGGCUUACCUAAUAAUAACUCAGUUGCAUGUAAUUUCUAGUCCCUCAACUUUUAAAAGGAUUUCUUCCUCCCUCCUUCUCUCUUUCUCUCUCCCUCCUUUCCUCCCUCUGGUUCUUCCUUGCUGGAAAAUGAGCCUCGAGCCUAUGCACUUUACUGCUGGGUAAUAUCUGCAGCCUUUCUAUUGUUUCUUGCAUAGGUCAAGGGAUGAUAACCCCAGAGUAAAUAGAAAUGCUUAGGUAGUCAACCGAUACUGUUUUUGGUUAUUUCUACCAAAAACAUAUCAUCGGACACCAAUUACUAGUACAAAGCAACAUACACACACACACACACACACACACACACACACACACACACACACACACACAGUCCUGACACCUAAUGAGAAGGGAAGCCCUGGGCUCUGGCUGUGGUCUUACAGGCUGUCUUAUGAUCCACCCAUUUUCAUCAGCACUGUGCAGUUCACCAGGACGAGGAAGAAGCCAAUUACCAUUCAAGGCAGAGCUCCCAUCACACUGAGGGAAAGAAGCAAGCCCCCAAGUGAAUGAAUAGGUGGCUAGUAACAGAAAUCGUGGGGAAGGUGAGAAAAGAAAAGGCCCUGGCUGGUUCUGACAAAGACUCCUUUGUAGUGGAGGCCAGUGAUGUGCUGUUCAUGCAGGGCUGCAGAAGAAAGGAACUACCCUUGGGUCCUUAGGGACCGCCACCUACAGCAAAGGCAAAGAGCACACUCACAGAGUCACAAGGUGAACACAGAUGAGACAAAGGCAGGCAGAGGCUUCCUGGGUCCUCCUGCCAUCUGGCUCAGAGCAGGUCUGUUCCUUCAGAUCCUAACAACUGCUGUGGGCGUGGUGGGGAGUCACAAGCUGCCGCUGCCCAGGCUCCCAAAGCCUUGGGGCUGGAAGAGUCUGCUUGCUCUGGAGCCCAUCUCCCUGACAAUCUUAGGAUAAAGAGAUUUUUCUCCUACUCAAUAUGGAAGGAACAUAUGCUUUCAGACAGCCACCAUUCACUACAAGACUCUAGGAAAUCGACAGUAGAAAACCCAGUAAGGGUUUUUAUUCAGUUUUUCGGUUUAUCGCUGGUUCUAGAAAGGAGAAAAUCUUCAUCACUUAUUGCACCUUUCUGCAAUAAGCUGUAAUAGUUACCAAGACCAGACUGCUGUGUUAUGGAGAAGACUGAGUUACAAAUGACUUUCAGUCCGUUGAAAGAUGGCUGGUUACAUUUACUCCCUCCUCCUGCCUCUCCACAAACCCCCACAUCAUGGAACCGGAGAAAGAGAAACAAAGGUGUUCUCUUUCAUGCCUCUGUGAUGUCUACUCCCAGGAAAGACUGCAGCACACACAUAAGAUUAUUCCUCAUUGUGGGAAACCACAAACAUAGGCAACUCUGUGGAAUUCAGAGCCGCUGUAAGGCUGGCCCACUGCCCUGUCUCCUGGAAGGUUACAGGAUCAGUUCAGAAGUCUCACUAUCACCUUCAGGGCAAACCCAUGCUUCCCUUUCUAAGGUCUGUUUUAUACCCCACUCCUUGUUUAACAUAAUCUAGCCUAUUUCAACCAAGUGUAUAAAUAUUUUAGUUCAGGCUAAUGGCGACCUCAAAAGAAAACCACCAAAAUGCUGCCAAGGUUGUGUAACCAACGACUUAAUAAUCUCGGUAAGGAAACAUUUGCUCUUAAAACAGUAUGAGGCAGGGAGAAGAGCUUCCGUUUACAAAACAGAGCUGUAGAUUUAAACAUACCACACUUACUUCUGCCCCUCCCCCCCAGACUUGCACCUGCACCCUAGUGGCAACUUAGCAUAUUAGAUUUCUGCUCUGUCUGAUCGAUGGGCACACAGGUGAGUCCCAGAUACAUUUCUCUUUCAUUGCCUCCUUGGAAGCUGGGGGAGGGAGGGUGCUCUGGUUCUAUUUCUGACCGCCCUCUUUCUCUUUGUGCAAUAGUGAGAAAAUAGAAUCCUCACACUAAGAGGUUUUUGUCCCUUCUGUGUCACCCACACACAGACUGUCCCCAUGAAGACCACUGCUCACGUUGCCUGCACAGAAAAUGACUGCCAUUUAUUUAUUAAGGCGCACACUAGAUACAGGAGAGGGAAGCUCCAGGAAGGGCUUCUGUUUGUGAGCCUUACAUCCAUCACCACCUCCUACCUGGCUUCCCUGCAAUGGACCCUCUGGGAUUAAAAUCUGUGCAGACUCUGAACUUCCCUCAAGAGAAACUGCCUCAGAAAACACAUGCUUUACCUCACUGGAAAAACCUUCUCGCCGAACACAAUAAUAAAAUUGUAUUCAAACCAAGUACGGUGUCCACAUUUGUGAUCAGCAACCUCAGAAGGCUGGGGCAAACUUGAGGUCAACCUGGGCUACACCGUUAGACCCUGUGUGCUGUGUGCAUGUUGCAGAACGGCUGCAUAAAGCAGCCGGUUUCAGCGGACAUUAGAAGCAGAUGCCAGACCUACAUACAAGUCCCGGCCAUCCUUCCCUGCUCAAAGUAUCCUCGGCUUUCCUGAUGUACACCCUGAGCUUACCAUGCACACCGGGGUUACCAGGGUGUGUCUGUGUGUUUGUUUAGGGAAACAUCUGACAAGUUUGGCUCACUGACCCUUCAUUCAUAGAGAAGAAUGGGCUCUGUGUGACAGAGAUGUGUCUACACUAUCUCACUAUCCUACACUGUCUACACUAUCCUCAGUGAGAUCACACUGGUCCCAGACACUUCCACGGUUUCCUUCACUCUAACUUAUGCAAGCCCACCUGAAGUUCCUACUGUGUGCAGAAUUCUAUAAGAGAAGACCUCUACAGACAAGGAGAGUGCAGACGACAUCACACAGCAGCCCUGCCCUAGGGCAUCAUGGGAAGAUGGAGGAGGAACAGUGCAAAACAGUCCCUAUAACCCGGAGGCACGGCUGCUCUUCUCAGAAGGUUGGGGUGGAAUCAAUGGACUCCUCUGCCUCCUCUGGGGCUGGCUGCUGAGGAGAGGGAAGGAAUUCAUCACAGCAGCAACCAGGGCAACUCAAUCUGAAACUAAUGAAUGCCUGGCAGGAAAAAAAAAAAACCUUUAAACAGACUUGACUUAUGAAAACGUGCUGAAAAGCAGGGGACUGCGCUGUGUGCCAGAAGGAACUGGCAAUUAAAGUCCAGAGAGCCCGCAUCACUUUUUUUUUUCACACUACGAUUACAUUUUAAGAAAGUGGUACAUACGCUGCGUAUGAGAGGGAACUGUGCCCACGUUAGCCUAGGAGAGGAUGAAGAAGGGGCAGAGAGAGAUGGGGCACAAGUCAGAGUCGUGCUUAGGAAUGUUAAGGACAGGUGGGGGAGGGGCGGAGCCUGCAAUGAUGCUACUUGGUUCUUGGGGCAACUCAGGCCUUAAUGGUGACCUGGAGCAGCCCUCUCCUCCUUCAUCAUGAUUUUCCAUGAUCCCAAAAAAGGGAAGGAAGGGGGCUUAGGCACCAAGAGCAUGGGAGGCUAGCUUGCAGAGAAGGCUAUCAGCAACCUGAGAUCACUGACUCAGGUCUCUGUAUCAUCGCACUGGUCAGCAGACUCCACAGUCCUGGAGGGCCCCUGUUGGGAGCAUCAUGCAGGGUGAAGGUACUCUUGUCUUAGAGGGAAAUUCAGACAGGUACGUGCAACACAGACAUAUGCAAGCACACAGCUCUACCCCUAGGCAGGCCAUUGAGAAUGUACUUUGCAAACUGGAAGUGGUCUACACAGAAGAAGUGUGUGCCCAGCAAGGAAGUACAAUGCACACUUUGUCACAUACUGAAAUAAUGCCCUAGGGAUGGUGGCACACACCUGUAAGCCCCCCACACUUGCUCAUUAUGGAGCUCAUUGUGAGGAGGAUCAUUGUGAGCUCAAAGUCAUCCUGGGCUACAGAGCACAUCUGAGGAUAGCCAGACUACAUGAGACCGUCUCAGCCAAACACAACAAUGAGACAAAGACUGUCUAUCCCUUCUGAAAUUAAAGUGGCAAAGCAGUGAGCAGUAAGCAUUUGCUUUUGUUUUUGUUUGUUUGCUUGUUUGUUGUUUUCUUCUUGAGACAGGCUGUUGGGUCUCUAUCUCUGACUGGCCCGGAGCUCACUGUGAAGUCCAAGUUGCCCUCAAACUUGCAAUUCUCAUCUUCAGCCUUUUGUGUGCUGGGAUUAUAGGAGUGAGUUAACACACCCGUACUUGUUUUCUGUGCCUGCAACUGAAAACUUAUAUAUGUUUUUCCACUGUAGGUGACAUGAUUGAUUUUACAUAUAUAUGACAUCAUACAUUACAUUUGAUAUCAUAUAUAUCAUGUAUAAGAAUUCCUCUUAUUAAUGGAUAUGGUCUAAUUAUAGAAAAUGUUUCCUUCUGUCCAGCUUCCUAGUGUGUAAUGAAUCUAGCUACAGGUGAUGCUUUCUGCAUUAUUUUUGCAAGGAAAGGGACAGGUGAGCUUAAGUCAAAGGUCACAAGCAGGUCAUUUUACAUUUACUCUCAGUAAAAACACAGCAAUAACAUAAUAAGAAUAGACCCCCAGUGCCCCCUGAGGACUAACUGAGGAAGAGGAAAUGUGAGAGGGACACGGGCCUGGAAGUCUGCCGGUUGUGUAGGAUAGGACUAGGUCACAGAGCGGGGAACGUGACUGUCAAUGUCUAGGUAGCUACUGACAGGGGUCACGAGAACAAACAUGUCUCUAAGAAAUGAGAUUCAUUUUCAGUGUUAAAACAUCUUGAAUGGAAGGCUGGAGACCACUUAGCGUAAGAGCACUCGUCACUCUUCCAGGGGUCCUGGCUUCUGUCGCAGCCUCCACUGGUGACUUAUGGCCAUCCAUUAGCUCCAGUUCCAGGGGAUCGGAGGCCCCCUUCUGACCUCCGUGGGCAUAAAGCACACACGUGGUUUACAUACAUAUACUCUCACUAUAUAUACAUAUAUAUAUGUAUAUAUAUGUUUUUUUUUUUAAGAAACUUGAACCCUUCAUUGUGACCCCAGCAGCAGGAAAGAUGCUGUUCCAAAAGCUGGCUGUGUUACAGGCAGUGAGUUAUAAACCCUCUAACCGCCCUACCCCAGCAACCUAAGCAUGAUGCCCCCAGGGGAGCUGUUUUGCAACUUUGUGCAGAGGCCAUACUCCUCCCAGGCUCCCAAUCAGUCCCACCCCCAUCCCUCCUGGGAGGUCCAUUUCCCAGCAUCCUCCAGGCUUCCCAGCCUGGUGGACCUGUCCCCUGGGAGGCUGCCUCCCACUCACUUCAGUAAGAGGUAAAGUGAGUACGUGUAUGUGUGUAUGUUUUAAAAUGAUCAUUGUCACAACUGUGAGUUCCAUGCAUCCGGAGGGCAUUCUGAUUUUAAAUUAAUGCUACCUCUAUGAGCCCAGGCACCAACUGGUUCCCCAGACUCCAUCACCCUCCUCAUAUGAUAAUCAAACUAGUUGUUCAGGUUCAGAAGAACAAGACAAACUUUUUUCCUUCUGUAAUACUACUUGCUUCUAGGCCGACUCCUUUGAUGGUGGGGCUUUCUGCUGCUGCUCACGGCACGUUUUGUUGUUGUCACAGGGUCUCACUGUAUACCCUAGGCUGGCCGAUCACGUUUGAUCCUUGCCUGUCAGCCUCCUCGGUGCUGGGAUCAAUCAUAAGCAAGUGCUACCAUGCCAAGCUGGGCUUUAACAGUCAGAACACACAACCACGGCAGAGUGGCUUAGAAACCAAGUCACACAGCUAGGCAUGAUGGCAGACACCUUUAAUCCCAGGUGGAGCUCCGUGAGCUCCACAGUAAGACCUUGUUUCAAAGAAAAAAGAAAGAAGCCGGGGUGGGGGUGGGGGCGGUGUUCUGUAUGACUUUUAUGAUUGCAACCAGACCAUAAGGUGCAAAUAAUACAGACAAAUAAAUAUGGAAGGGUAGCCGCGGAGGCUGGCCCACCAGCGGCUGUUUACACAAGCAUCUAGGCUGCAGAAGGACAGAUAAGUAGCUAUACUGACUUAAUUCCAGAUGGUAUCUCCCUGCUGUCGCCAGGCUCUAAAGUCCUAAUACAGCCCAAUACCAAAUAAUCACAAACAGUUACACAUCUUCCAUAUCAUUUGUUCAUGAAGGCAUCCAUGGCUGGAAACUGAGUGCAUCCUGGGAAAGCAAUUUUACAGUUUAAAGGAAUAAAUGAAUAUUCAUAGCAUUUGCACUUAGGGGGAAAAAGAACUCUAAAAAGACCCCAUUUACAUUUAUGAAGAAUGUAGUGGAGUGCUUGAGUGCUUGUGUGCAUGAGAGAGAGGGGGAGGGAGAUAGUGGAGAGGGAGAAGGAGAGGGAGAGCUAUCAAGAUCUAGAUACUAAGUGUGUCUUUACAGCAUCAAUCAUUCAUCUAUAAUUUGUAUUCCUUUAGUCAAUUAACAAAAUAUUUUCAAAAUCUAUUAAUUAAUUAAUAAUGGCUAGCAUAGAACAACCCUUUUACAAGUCCUAUUUAAUUGUGUGUGUGUGUAUUGUGUGUCUGUGUGUCUGUAUGGAUGUGUGUGUGUGUCUGUGUGUCUGUAUGUGUGUGUGUGUGUCUGUGUGUCUGUAUAUGUAUGUGUGUGUGUGUGUGUGUGUCUGUAUAUGUAUGUGUGUGUGUGUGUGUGUGUAGGUCAAAGCUUAACUUUCUAGUGUUAGUUCUCUCCCUGCACCAUGGGGCUCCAAAAAUCAAAUUUGGGCCAUCUGGUUGGUAGCAAGUGACUACACAGAGCUGUCACCAGCCCUAGAACAGAACUCUUCAUCCUCACUUAGCUCUCUUUAAAUUCAGUGGCCCAAUCAGCCAUCCUGUCCAAGGCAGAGCCAUGGUCAAGUCCAUCUGAAGCUGGCUCCUGGCUUCUCCUCCAGUCUCCUCCGCCACUCUGAUCCCAAUAAGGUCACAGCCACCUAGCUGGGUGAUAACCAUAGUGGCUUCCUGAUUGGUUCCCUUCACUCAUCAGCUACACAGAAACCAAAAUGAUAUGUCAAAUAAGCAUGUCCAAACACACUGAACCCUUACUAAGAAUGCUUUUUGUUCCAUACCGUGCAGGACAAAGGUCAGACUCUUGGGUCAAGUCCACACUCCUGCCCUCACUAGUCCAGCCAUGAUUCCUCAGCCAUCCUCACUUCCUGCAGGCCCAGCUCCAAAUUCAGUAGACACGUGUCAUUCUUCAACUGGAAUGUCGCCUUCCAGAAGAGUUUCCAUACUCUUCAGGUCUCGGCAUGAACAGAAGGCCUCCUUGCCUCUGAAGAUGGAGGCAGGGCUCCUUCUGGACCCUAGGGCAUGCCCACCCUUCUCUGCCCUUCUCUCAGCCUUGAUUCUGUUAUUUGAUGGUUGCUCUACUAGGCUGACUCACUUGAAGGCAAAGGCUGCUUCAGUCUCCUUUCUGGAUUCUUUUCCUUGUGGAAACCAGGCCUCUUUAAGCGGUCCAGGCUGGCCUUCAUCUCCUAGGCUCCAGAGAGCCUCCUGCUCUGUCUGGGACCAUGGUACAGCUAUCUCAUUGCUGCCACUGACUAUCUCUUUGCCUGGGACAUCGUCAGUAUCCAAGAAACACUCACAGCCUCUACUCUUCUGAACCUCCACGCCUCAAUAACAAAAACACGCCAAAGUAACCCCUGACACGCCCCGGGAAGGCAGCCACAGGUUCUAGCUCAUUAAGCAGCUCCUGUAUUAUGUCUCAAAGCACUCUGGUGUGUUCCUGUCAGAACUGUUGAUAAAAUUCAGAAACACUUGACAUUUGUAGUGAAGAUCACAGUAGGGCUGGUGGCUUAUGGUGGUAACUGCCAUCCCAAAUCCUGUGUCAAACAGGAUAGCUUAUAAUGAAAAGGAAAUUCAAUUUAACUGAUCUCUCACAAAAAAAAAAAAAAAAUCACAUUACUCAAAUUCUAGUAACACAAUUAGCACACAUGCAGAUGAGAAAACCCAGUCUUAAAUAUCCUCUCCACUAGGCUGGGGGAGGGAGCCAAUAUGCUGUAAUAUCCAAAUGUUCCAAGCACCUGGCACUUCCUGCUUCCCUGAACCCCUAGCCCAGCUGGCUCUAGUUUCAGAAAUAUCCUUAACGAGACCCACUGGGUGGACACGAGGGGAAAAUUAUCUGCAGAGAUAAGCAACAAGCCCAAGUCUCGGCAAGACUGCUCUCCACACGGACAGCGUCUCGUAAUUCUCGGAGCACAUCAGUAGUCAUCUGUUUGCUAUGCUCUGCCCCCAAGACAGUUAGAUCACCUCUCUGUCCCCACCACUUGACAGUGGGAAAGCCAUAGACGCCAAGUUCAUGUCUCAAGGUCACAGACCCGGUGAGGACAGAAGCAGAAGUCGAAAUCUGGUGUCCCAGCCCCCAGGAGUCUGCACCGUUCCCAUGCAACAUGCUUCUUUGGUUCCACCUGCUCCACUUCUCAGGGAAGGAAGGACAGGGCCGCAGGGGCAGCAGUCACAUUGGCAUGGAUGGGAAACCCCUCUUCUUCACAGUACAAAGCUCCCACUCUUCACUUCCCCGAUUUCCCAGCCCACAUAAGAGGCAACCGCAGGAAACGCAGAAGAUGCAGUACUCAUCGCAAUAGGGAGGAGGACACGCUACCCUUCCUAUUUCCUCUGAAUAUCACUGUUGUACUUCUCUACAGAACCACCUACAUCUCUCUUCCAGGGAAAUGCACCUGACCCAGAGACCCCACCGGCAGUGUUCCUUUACAUGGCAAAAAGGUUAAAAAGAAAGAAAAUACAGAAUUGGUUUUUAAGUAAUACGAUACCCUUAAUCAACCAGCAUUUUAAAAGUGCUUUUAAUAAAAGGAACCAUGGAGUUCAAGACCACGUAGCUUGACAGCUGAAAUGCAGAGUUCCGGUGUUGAAGUCACAGGCCAUGAAGUAGCUCUCAGGCAGGAAACCCUGACUCCAUGCCAGGGACAGGGCAGCUCCCGAGAAGCAUGGCAACUGCAGAGGCCUUGCACACAUAUUACACAUGCAUGUGACCAAAGAAAUAAUCAAUGUACACGAAGGCUUCUACACACACACAAGACAGUUUUCACAGCAUUACCAGCUACAGGGAUGAAACAGAAUCAACCUAGCCUCUGAGGAAUGGUUAAAUAAAUUACAACAUGUCCACAUGACCAAUGGCUGGAAACACCAACCUUCAGACUUCCAAUGAAUAUUUAAACCAAAAGGAGUCGCCUGUCCUUGUAGAAAGGGGAAGACACCCGGUACAUCUCUUUCUGAAGCAGACCUAGGUGGGGAGCAUCGGAAGAUGAGUGUUUUCUAGUUGAAGUCUGGCUUCUGUUCUUGCCCUUUGGAGGGCAGGUUCUCACUGUGUAGCCCUGGCUGGCAUGGAGUUCCCUAAGUAGAUGGUGAGUGGGAAGUAGGGUAGGGAGGCUGGAGUCAGACCCUCCUGCCUGCUCUGCCUCCCCAGUGCUGGGAUUAAAGCACCCUCCCCCCCCCCAGACCACCAUGCCCAGCUGUGGUGGUCUGAAUAUGCUCAGCUCAGGGAGUGGCACUAGAAGAAGGUGUGGCCUUGUUGGAGUAUGUGUGUCACUGUGGUAUGGGCUUUAAGACCCUCAUCCUAGCUGCCUGCAAGCCAGUCUUCUCCUAGAAGCCUCCAGAUGAAGAUGUAGAACUCUCAGGUCCUCCUGCACCAUGCCUGCCUGGAUGCUGCCAUGUUCGGACAUGAUAAUGAACUGAACACUGUAAGCCAGCCCCAAUUAAAUGUUGUCCUUAUAAGAGUUGCCUUGGCCAUGCUGUCUGCUCACAGCAGUAAAAACUAAGACACCAGCCUUUUCCUUCUUUUAUAAUAAAAGGGGUUUCUGAAAGGUGAAUAAAAGAAACAGGUAGGGUCUUGAACAGAGAUCAUGAGACCCAUACUUUCCCAGUGCUUAUGCUGCUUAUUUAAACUUCUUCAUUGAGAAAAAAAGUUACUACAAGUUGUCCUUGGAAGGGUUCUAAAGCAUACGUGUCAGUAACGUGGCGUAGAUUCAUACUGUACAACCACCACCAGGAUCAAUUCCCACAAGUUUUUUUUUUUUUUUUAAACACCUCAUACUGAAAUUCUACACUAUACCAGGCCAAUCCCUGCCUCCCUGGCCACCCUUCUCACUCUCUCUCUAUGGCUGUGGCUAGGGUAGGUAUCUCUAUUAGUGGAGUCUCAUAAUUAUAUUUGUGUUUGGCCUAUUUCACUUUACAAAAUGCAACACCCAUUAUAAUUUCCUUUAUUUGUAAGCCUAAAUAAUAGUGUGUGGUAUGUGGAUGGACGAAAACACAUGUAGAUCGUAUUUCACAUGCAUUUCCAAAAUACAUUUCAAACUUGAGCUGCAGUUUGAAAUUGCGUAUACAUUUUCAUAGACAAGUGGCUCCAAAUCUGCUCAUUCGGGGACUGAGCACACAUGUAUACAUGUUAUUCGUGUGAGCAGGUACAAGGACCGAUACUGGAUUCAGAAUAGCAACUGCUUCCAGUGCAAGUGUACACAAAAGGGCACCAGGAAACUUCCUGAGUGGAUAGGAUUGUUCUGGAGCCUGAUGGCUGUGGAUCUGCCCCAAAAGCAUGCAUUUGUCAAAUUGCAUGGAGUUAUAUGCUUAAGAGUUGUACGUUCCAUGUGUGCAUAAAUUACACGUCACUUUCUGAAGGAGAGAAAAGCAUUCUCCCCCGCCCCUCUGAAAGAAAAGGCAGAGUGAGGAGUUCUGAAGAAGAAUCUACAGUUCAGCCUCUGAUGCUUUCGGCUACCUUCACCUUGGGGGCUGGCAGUGGGUCUCUAGUACCCCUAAAUUUCAGCCCAGCGACCUUUUUCUUCACCGCAUAAGCGCAGUUUUGCCAAGGAAAAUCUGUUAAGCACACUGUGGGCUAACUACCCACACUGUUGCAACACCUGCCCAGGCUGAUUGGUAGGUUAGAGCGUGCUGCUCUCCUGCCCAGGAGCAGAAGUGAGGUGCGUCACCUUGCAAGUCGGGCUCCAAGACAGGUGUUCCUGAUGAUGCAAUGCUGGGUCUGAGGCCAUCCCCUGACCCAUGAACAAGUCUUAGGACAAUAGACUGUGAGGUCUGAAGAGAAGGGAAUAAUACCUUGGCCUUUAUUAUCAUGGCAUUGGACAUGGCUCAAAUCAUGAAGUGAUGAAUGCUACCUCUUUUCCUACUAACUCUGGCUACAUGAUGCCUUUGUAUGCAAUAUGUCUCCAUAGAUGACAAGUUUAGACCACACCUAGCCAGGACGAGUUUCCUGUUAAUCUAAGUAGUGAACCAUUCCUAAGUCAGACCUUUUUUUUUUUUUUUUUUUCCAAUUUGCUGUGUAAACUCUCUUCCACACUGCAGGACCCAGGG